AUACGGAGGGUGCAAGCGUUGUUCGGAAUUAUUGGGCGUAAAGCGCGUGUAGGCGGCUUGGUAAGUCAGGUGUGAAAGCCCUUAGCUCAACUAAGGAAAGUCAUCUGAAACUGCCAGGCUUGAGUACGGGAGAGGAGAGUGGAAUUCCCGGUGUAGAGGUGAAAUUCGUAGAUAUCGGAGGAACACCCGUGGCGAAGGCGACUCUCUGGACCGAUACUGACGCUGAGACGCGAAAGCGUGGGGAGCAAACAGGAUUAGAAACCCCGGUAGUCC
rnacentral:rRNA from 1 species